rnacentral:rRNA from 1 species
ACGGAAGGCAGCAGUGGGGGAUAUUGCACAAUGGGGGAAACCCUGAUGCAGCGACGCCGCGUGAGCGAAGAAGUAUUUCGGUAUGUAAAGCUCUAUCAGCAGGGAAGAAAAUGACGGUACCUGACUAAGAAGCUCCGGCUAAAUACGUGCCAGCAGCCGCGGUAAUACGUAUGGAGCAAGCGUUAUCCGGAUUUACUGGGUGUAAAGGGAGCGUAGACGGUUUGCCAAGUCUGAUGUGAAAGGUGGGGGCUCAACCCCCAAACUGCAUUGGAAACUGGUAGACUAGAGUGUCGGAGAGGUAAGUGGAAUUCCUAGUGUAGCGGUGAAAUGCGCAGAUAUUAGGAGGAACACCAGUGGCGAAGGCGGCUUACUGGACGAUAACUGACGUUGAGGCUCGAAAGCGUGGGGAGCAAACAGGAUUAGAUACCCUGGUA